rnacentral:rRNA from 1 species
AAUCAACGCUGGCGGCGUGCCUCAGACAUGCAAGUCGAACGCGAAAUUUCCCUUCGGGGAGAAAGUAGAGUGGCGCACGGGUGAGUAACACGUAGGUAAUUUGCCUUUGGGUGGGGAAGUAACUACAGGGAAACUUGAGCUAAUACCGCAUAAUGCGGCGGCUCGACAUCGAGACAGUUGUUAAAGCGGGGAGUUGGAGCAAUCCGACCUCGCG